rnacentral:lncRNA from 1 species
CAGUUCAAAUCUAUUUUUACCUUUAGGGGCGGUUCUUGGAUUUUGAAAGGGGCGUUAUUCUAUCAAAAUUAAAAAAAAUAUCCCCGAGUGUAGCGAGACUAAAAAACAAUAUUGACGAUUUUAAGCUAAACCACGAUACUUUGUAAAAUCCAAUGGUUAACGACCUGUUCGCCCCACCCCUGAAUCUGCCAUCUGCCUUGAAAUUACGACAAAGUUGAACUUCGUACAAACAUCGUAGUUUCAAAAUAGGAAAAAGAAAGGUUUCUCAUUCCAUUAUUUGAUUUAUCUAAGCUGGGACAUAAACUAUUUUAUUAAAUUUUGUGUACAACGUAAAUCUUAAUCAGUGUUUUAAAGUUAAAAAGAUAGUUAAAACAUUUUUUGUUAAUUUCUGCCAAAAACGAAUUGUAUCUAAGAAUAUCCGAAUAAAAGAAAUCUGAUUAGUUUCAGACUCAAUGGAAUUUAUUACGACUUUUUGAAUAUCUCUUCUAUAAAGGGACUAUUUUUGGAUCGAAUUUAAUGAGGACCAUAUUUAAGUUUGUUUUAAAACAGGGGGAUUAACUGGAGAUCAAUCAGACUUCAUUUAGAUGGACGUGUCUUAAGAAGUAAU